rnacentral:misc_RNA from 1 species
GGCAAGCCGUACGUUUCUUUUCUUCUUAUUUUCUUACUAUUGAUGAUGAUCUUGCUUACCUUAUUCUCUUGAUUAUGCAUUUUCUUGUUUUUCUUUGAUGGGUGGUCAUUAUUUUGGUUAAAUUUUCACAGCGAUUAGGGAUAACUAAGGAAUUAACUCUUGAUAUUGCUUCAAAAAAAUGAUUUUAGGAAGUAUGUGAGAUGUCAUGCUAAGCUUUUGUUAAGAAUCUAAU